AUUGAACGCUGGCGGCAGGCUUAACACAUGCAAGUCGAGCGGGGUGAGGUGCUUCGGUACUGAUCCUAGCGGCGGACGGGUGAGUAAUGCUUAGGAAUCUGCCAUUUAGUGGGGGACAACAUUCCGAAAGGAAUGCUAAUACCGCAUACGUCCUACGGGAGAAAGGGGGGGAUCUUCGGACCUCUCGCUAUUGGAUGAGCCCAAGUCGGAUUAGCUAGUUGGUGGGGUAAAGGCCUACCAAGGCGACGAUCCGUAGCUAGUCUGAGAGGAUGAUCAGCCACACUGGAACUGGGCCUGGGGCCAGACUCCUACGGGGGGCAGCAGUGGGAAAUAUUGGACAAUGGGCGAAAGCCUGAUCCAGCCAUGCCGCGUGUGUGAAGAAGGCAUUCGGGUUGUAAAGCACUUUAAGUGGGGAGGAAUGGCUCUUGGUUAAUAACCCUGAGCAGUGACGUUACCCACAGAAUAAGCACCGGCUAACUCUGUGCCAGCCGCCGCGGUAAGAC
rnacentral:rRNA from 1 species